GCUCAGGACGAACGCUGGCGGCGUGCCUAAUACAUGCAAGUCGAGCGAAUCGAUGGGAGCUUGCUCCCUGAGAUUAGCGGCGGACGGGUGAGUAACACGUGGGCAACCUGCCUAUAAGACUGGGAUAACUUCGGGAAACCGGAGCUAAUACCGGAUACGUUCUUCUCUCGCAUGAGAGAAGAUGGAAAGACGGUUUACGCUGUCACUUAUAGAUGGGCCCGCGGCGCAUUAGCUAGUUGGUGAGGUAAUGGCUCACCAAGGCGACGAUGCGUAGCCGACCUGAGAGGGUGAUCGGCCACACUGGGACUGAGACACGGCCCAGACUCCUACGGGAGGCAGCAGUAGGGAAUCUUCCGCAAUGGACGAAAGUCUGACGGAGCAACGCCGCGUGAACGAAGAAGGCCUUCGGGUCGUAAAGUUCUGUUGUUAGGGAAGAACAAGUACCAGAGUAACUGCUGGUACCUUGACGGUACCUAACCAGAAAGCCACGGCUAACUACGUGCCAGCAGCCGCGGUAAUACGUAGGUGGCAAGCGUUGUCCGGAAUUAUUGGGCGUAAAGCGCGCGCAGGUGGUUCCUUAAGUCUGAUGUGAAAGCCCACGGCUCAACCGUGGAGGGUCAUUGGAAACUGGGGAACUUGAGUGCAGAAGAGGAAAGUGGAAUUCCAAGUGUAGCGGUGAAAUGCGUAGAGAUUUGGAGGAACACCAGUGGCGAAGGCGACUUUCUGGUCUGUAAC
rnacentral:rRNA from 2 species